AGAGAGGAGAUGCAAACCACAAGAACCUCUUGAGAUAAAAAGGAUUUUUGUAAUUUUUCAGUGCCCUCUAGCAUUAGUCUCAGAAACGUUGAAUUAAAAGUGAUUCACUUUUGAUCGAGUGGCAUCGCGACGACGCGUUUAUUUUAUAACUUAUAUAAGUAUCAAUUAAGAGAGUCAUAUUUAAUCAAUUGUUGAGCGAUAGUCGACGCGCGUUUCGCGACUUUGUAUUGAGACGUAAUCGCGCGAGCGAUCAACCAACAAGUGACGAUCAUGCCUUAUUAUGCAUCUCGAAUUGCGUUUCGCGGAUAUUUAUUUUAAUUUUAAUUCGCUUCGCGCGAUCGUAUUUUUUUCGCGUUCAUAAUUAUAGCUGUCUCAAUGUGCCAAAGCGUGUGUGGAUCGCGUGUAAAUACCGUCAGAAAUGCCGUAUAGAAUGCGACCACUAAACUCUGGUAAUUAGUAAGUGCGCGAUCUUAAAUUAUUAACUUCGCGAAUGUUAUGCGAAUGCCGUAAAGGAGCAGGCGGAACAGCCAUAGAGAGAGAGAGAGAGAGGGAGAGAGAGAGAGAGAGAGAGAGUGGAAGAAGAAGAAAGGGAGAGAGAAGGAGAAAAAAAGACCCAGGAAAGCAUUAGACGGCGGAGCAAUCGUGGGCUGAGUAAUUUACUUUAUUCUUUAUUUUAUUACUUUUUAGUCGUUUGGCGAGAAUCCUGUCGCGACGCGUUUACAACUUUAUACUGAAUUCAGUAUCGUAAAACCGAAAGUUUUACGACAGUAGCAUGAUUUAAAGAAUUUCCCGUACGCUAACGCCCUCCCGUAAAUAUUACGGAUAAAGAAAGAAACAGGAAGCCAAAUUAUAAACCAGACGUGGAUGAUAACUACACAGAAAUGCAGUUCUGCAGUUUAAAAAUAUAAUACAUAUAUACUACAUUUUCAUAAAUUGUAAAAUUAAUGUUACAUUUCAUAUGCUAAAUAUUUAUAUUGGAUGAUUGAGAGCGAUCAUAAUGUCGGUACUGUUUAAUUAUCCACGUAGGGAUAUUUAAUAGUAUAUUGCAAACUUUUAGUCAAGGACUAUAAAUAACAUUAUGUCUUUUAAAUAAUUAUAUAUAUGUUUCCUUUAAAUGCACGUAACCGCGAAAUUUUCCCUUUAAUUUUAAAUACUUUUAUAUAUUAUAAUAAUACAAAAAUAUUAAAAAUUGGAAUAUAAUUUUUUCAAAUUAGAUUGAUUCUUUUAAUUCCGUAAGAUCAGUAAAAAUUGAUUUAAUAAUUGUUAUACUUUUAAUUUGAUAUUGUUAAGAAAAAAGAGCUAAUUAAUAUUCUCGAUAUUAUUACAAAUGCACAUACAUGUAUUUCGAAACUUUAGAAUUAAAGAACAAUGAUAGCACAAUAUAUUUAAAUUUCAAAUGCAUCUAAUUUCUUAUUUCUUGGACGUUUGAAAGAUAUGUAAUUUUAUAAGAUUAUAAAUUCCUUUCAGUUUAUUCAAUUUGAAUGCUUAAAUUCAAAACUCGAAUCCGAACUGUCUACCCUUAUUUCAAUUAUGUAUCUUCUUGCAUUUUGAGUUGCACUUCGCGUGUAACGCGAUAAUUAUAUCUCUUAACGGCUUUACGAACGUGUAGUUUGACAUAUUUUUAGAGGAUUGCAUCGGGAUUAUAUACAUCCGUGCAUCUAGCGGAGGCUGAAGUGUCACCAUCGCUCUUCGAGGCGAAGCGAUGAAAAGUGGGAAGGGGAAAAACACACGGGUGGAAUGAAAAAAGGACAAACACCAGCGGAAUGUCCAGUUUUUGCGUGGCAGUUACUUACCUUAAACGAGCUAAGAUUCUCAUAUAGAAUAGCGGAGAGGAUCUUCCCGAUCCUCAGUCGCGACCGCUUCCAAAGACGACGAAAACGCGGUGAUGCACGUCAUUUUCGAACGAACGUAAUUGCGAUGCGGCAGAUACAAAGGCCUUCAUAACUUCGCCGGCUAUUUGUCCUUAAUUCGUUUCAUUUGUUUUUGCAUUGAUUACGAAAUUGUGUUUGUCCACGCCUGUCAGCUUCUCGGAUUAUUCCUGAAAUUAUUUUGUUCUACGUUUAUAUCGUAAUGCACAAUUUGCUUUAAAAUUCUCAAAAAUAAUAGAAAAUAAUAGAACUUUCGUCUCUAUUAUUAUCGAAAGAUUUGUGAAUUUCUGUGGCCGAAAUCUCACGCUAGCGCGUUAAACGAUAGUUUCUCGAAUGCAGACGAUGAACAAAGUUUAUAUAUCGCCGUGUCUACACAAGGAAAACGUCAGCCCCAGGGUGUGGUGCCCUUUUUCUAUCUCACACUUACAAGAGAACAAAUGCCAGUUGGUUUUGAAACCGACGCACGGAAUCUUAAUGAUGUCUCGUCACAUAUCCGACAACGGGCCACGGCGGACUUAGACCUCCGAGCGCCGCGCGUCCCAAGUGGAACAGAACCUACUGUGUAUAGUUAAAAGAAAUUUCUCGAUUAUGAAAUCGUUUUACGUACUACUAUUGAAACUUUCGACUCAUUUAUUGCUUACUAGUAAUUACAAUUUCAAGAAACAACGAUACGAGCGCUGACGAAAUGAUCUUUUACGAAUUCAUUACUGACUCUUAUAUGAAUUUGUUAUUGAUUUCAAGCGUGUAAUGAUGAUGUGCAUUUAAUUUCGCCGAAAAUGGAAAUUUUGGUUGUAAUUAUUCGGUACAUUAUUUAUUAAACGGAUGUUUCUCGACAUAAA